rnacentral:rRNA from 1 species
CUGGUUGAUCCUACCAGUGAUAUACGCUCGUCUCAAAGGUUAAGCCAUGCAUGUCUAAGUACAAGCUUCCUAGAAAGUGAAACCGCAUAAGGCUCAGUAUAACAGCUAUAAUUUACAAGAUCCUCAUCCAAACAGUUACUUGGAUAACUGUGGAAAAGCCAGAGCUAAUACAUGCAUUAUGCCGGGACUGUUGGCCUCCGGGUCGGCGGAACUGGUGCACCUUAUUAGUUAAACCAAUCGCCUCCGGGCGCUUUGAGUUGAAAUCUGGAUAAGGAUGCCGAUCGUACGGUCGCUUGCGACUGACGACAGAUCUUUCAAAUGUCUGCCCUAUCAACUAUUGAUGGUAGUGUAGAGGACUACCAUGGUUGCGACGGGUAACGGGGAAUCAGGGUUCGAUUCCGGAGAGGGAGCCUGAGAAAUGGCUACCACAUCCAAGGAAGGCAGCAGGCGCGUAAAUUACCCAAUCCCGGCACGGGGAGGUAGUGACGAGAAAUAACAAUAUGGACCUCUCUAACGAUGGUCCAUAAUUGGAAUGAGUUGAGCAUAAAUCCUUUUGCAAGGAUCAAGUGGAGGGCAAGUCUGGUGCCAGCAGCCGCGGUAAUUCCAGCUCCACUAGCGUAUAUU